rnacentral:rRNA from 1 species
UACGGAGGGUGCAAGCGUUAUCCGGAUUCACUGGGUUUAAAGGGUGCGUAGGCGGGCAGGUAAGUCCGUGGUGAAAUCUCUGAGCUUAACUCAGAAACUGCCAUGGAUACUAUUUGUCUUGAAUAUUGUGGAGGUCAGCGGAAUAUGUCAUGUAGCGGUGAAAUGCUUAGAUAUGACAUAGAACACCAAUUGCGAAGGCAGCUGGCUACACAAGUUAUUGACGCUGAGGCACGAAAGCGUGGGGAUCAAACAGG